UACGUAGGGUGCAAGCGUUGUCCGGAAUUACUGGGUGUAAAGGGAGCGUAGGCGGGAUUGUAAGUUGGAUGUGUAAUGUACCGGCUCAACCGGUAACUUGCAUUCAAAACUGCAGUUCUUGAGUGAAGUAGAGGCAGGCGGAAUUCCUAGUGUAGCGGUGAAAUGCGUAGAUAUUAGGAGGAACACCAGUGGCGAAGGCGGCCUGCUGGGCUUUUACUGACGCUGAGGCUCGAAAGCAUGGGUAGCAAACAGGAUUAGAUACCCUGGUAGUCCAUGCCGUAAACGAUGAUUACUAGGUGUGGGUGUGCAAGCAUCCGUGCCGCAGCUAACGCAAUAAGUAAUCCACCUGGGGAGUACGGCCGCAAGGCUGAA
rnacentral:rRNA from 1 species